AGGUAGUAAUUUAAAAUAAAACCUAUUUAUACUGGCGGCAUUCAACCUUAUUAGAGGAACUUGUUCCAUAAUCGAAAACUCGCGAUAAAUUUAACUUUAAUAUACAAUUUAUAUAUCGCCGUCUAAAGAAUUAAUUUAAAAAUAAAAUUCUUAAUAAAAAUUAAAAAGUAAGGUCAAGGUGUAGUCAAUAUUAAAGUGAGUAGUGAGUUACCUUAAAUAUAAUUUAAGGAAAAUAUAAUAAAUAAUAUUAAAAAAACGGCUUUAAUAUUAAUAUAAAUAUAUAAUAAUACUAUUAUGUGAAUAAGAUAAUAAAUGUGG
rnacentral:rRNA from 1 species